rnacentral:antisense_RNA from 1 species
CGUUUUGGUAGGCUAGGCAGGGCAGCUUCGUGCUGGCCGUACUCAGUGAACGGUAUUCCUACACCCUGCUUAGUCUGCCACCAUC